CAGUAGCCGCGGUAAUACGUAGGGUGCGAGCGUUGUCCGGAUUUAUUCGGCGUAAAGAGCUCGUAGGCGGCUUGUCGCGUCGGAUGUGAAAGCCCGGGGCUUAACUCCGGGUCUGCAUUCGAUACGGGCAGGCUAGAGUGUGGUAGGGGAGAUCGGAAUUCCUGGUGUAGCGGUGAAAUGCGCAGAUAUCAGGAGGAACACCGGUGGCGAAGGCGGUCAUCUGGGACAACACUGACGCUGAGGCACGAAAGCGUGGGGAGCAAACAGGAUUAGAUACCCCAGUAGUCCCUGUCUCUUAUAC
rnacentral:rRNA from 1 species